rnacentral:rRNA from 1 species
AUUGAACGCUGGCGGCAGGCUUAACACAUGCAAGUCGAGCGGAGAUGAGGUGCUUGCACCUUAUCUUAGCGGCGGACGGGUGAGUAAUGCUUAGGAAUCUGCCUAUUAGUGGGGGACAACAUUCCGAAAGGAAUGCUAAUACCGCAUACGCCCUACGGGGGGAAGGAGGGGAUAUUCGGACCUCGCGCUAAUAGAUGAGCCUAAGUCGGAUUAGCUAGUUGGUGGGGUAAAGGCCUACCAAGGCGACGAUCUGUAGCGGGUCUGAGAGGAUGAUCCGCCACACUGGGACUGAGACACGGCCCAGACUCCUACGGGAGGCAGCAGUGGGGAAUAUUGGACAAUGGGCGGAAGCCUGAUCCAGCCAUGCCGCGUGUGUGAAGAAGGCCUUUUGGUUGUAAAGCACUUUAAGCGAGGAGGAGGCUACCUGGAUUAAUACUCUAGGAUAGUGGACGUUACUCGCAGAAUAAGCACCGGCUAACUCUGUGCCAGCCGCCGCGGUAACAC